rnacentral:rRNA from 1 species
CGCGUAGGCGGACCGGCGGGUCCGGCGUGAAAUCUCCACCGCUCAACGGGGAGAAGCCGCUGGAAACUACCGGUCUGGAGUUUGGCAGAGGGUCAUGGAAUUCCAGGUGUAGCGGUGGAAUGCGUAGAUAUCUGGAAGAACACCUGUGGCGAAGGCGGUGGCCUGGGCCAAAACUGACGCUGAGGCGCGAAAGCCAGGGGAGCAAACG